AACGCGAAGAACCUUACCAGGGCUUGACAUCCAACUAACGAAGCAGAGAUGCAUUAGGUGCCCUUCGGGGAAAGUUGAGACAGGUGGUGCAUGGUUGUCGUCAGCUCGUGUCGUGAGAUGUUGGGUUAAGUCCCGCAACGAGCGCAACCCCUAUUGUUAGUUGCUACGCAAGAGCACUCUAGCGAGACUGCCGUUGACAAAACGGAGGAAGGUGGGGACGACGUCAAAUCAUCAUGCCCCUUAUGGGCUGGGCGUCACACGUGCUACAAUGGUGCCAACAGAGUGAGGCGAAGCCGUGAGGUGGAGCGAACCACAAAAAAGGCAUCUCAGUUCGGAUUGUAGUCUGCAACCCGACUACAUGAAGCUGGAAUCGCUAGUAAUCGCAGAUCAGAAUGCUGCGGUGAAUACGUUCCCGGGUCUUGUACACACCGA
rnacentral:rRNA from 1 species